UAUCAGAUGGACUGUAGCUAUAUCACAGAGCUUAUGUUCAAGGAACCCUUAUUUUACUUAGUAAUGGUUCAAAGUGCAAGAGUAGUGAAGCUGACAAUUCCAGAGAAGCUGUAAAAUACUUCCUUUAAGUGGAAAGGGCAAUCAAGUGAGAGCCUUAACUCUGCACUCUCUUAUUCUGUUGAUGACUGUUUCAUUUAUGCUUCCUGGACCAGUGUUGCAUGGUUUAGUACCACCAGCCUCCCCAGUCACCUUUAUCAUCAGCAGGUGACCUAACGAAUCAAUCUCCAUUCAAAACAACAACAACAACAAAACGAAGCAAAAAGCAGACUGUGGCCUUACCAAAACCAAAGACACAUCCAAGCAAUAAAGUGGAAGAC